UGUCAGAGAUAGAAUUUUCGCCAUUUCUCCUUUUCAUUUCCCGCCGAUUUUAUUUGCUACUUUGCUCCAUUCAAAAUAUUUUCCAGGUUUUCUCACCAACCAAACUGCCCGUUAGGGUUUAUUGUUCCUCGCAUCUCCCAUUUCUUCCAUCUGGUUACUACAGUUAGAAAAAUGUCAAGAAGAGAUCGCCGACCGCCAUUUCCAAUGAAAGAUAUUCCUCAUGUACAUGAACCCCCAUUUGGCAGAGGCCUUGGGCCAAGGCCCCAUCCCAAACUGCUAGAAGGAAUGAGAGCAGCCCAGUUGCAAGAGUUACAGUUUGGGAUGGGUCAUAGACUGCCACCCCCUCACCCUUGGGUGAUUGAGGAGCAUCUAGCAGUUCAACAGCAAGAAAUUCAAGGUCUGCUUGUUGAUAACCAAGGGCUGGCGGCAACCCAUGUUGCACUGAAGCAGGAGUUGGAAGCUGUUCAGCAAGAGUUGCAGCGAAUGGUGCACUUUUCGGGUAUGUUGCAGGCAGAUAAGGAUGUUGAGAUGAGAACAAUGCAUGAGAGGUUGGCUAAGAUCGAAGCAGACCUUUGUGGGAUGGAGGUUAUGAAGGCUGAGGUCCUUAAAGUUAAUGCUGAUGUUAAGGAGCUUACUUUGGCAAGGCAAGAGCUCACUGGAAAGGUCCAAGUAAUGACCCAAGAUUUGGCUAGAGCCAAGGCUGAUUUGCAACAUGCAUCAGCUUUGAAGGAAGAAAUUGAGAGUGUGAAACAUGAAUUGCAGCGAGCAAGAGCUGCCAUUGAGUAUGAGAAGAAAGGAUAUGCAGAGAAUUACCAGCAUGGUCAGUUGAUGGAGAAUAACUUGAUCUCAAUGGCCAGGGAGUUGGAAAAACUUCGUGCAGAGCUUGCAAAUGCUGAUAAAGGAGCAAGUGCUGCUGCUUCUGGUGGGAAUCCAGGUUAUAGUGGAAAUUAUGGCAACCCUGAAGCUGGAUAUGCAGCAAAUCCUUAUCUUACAAACUAUGGCAUGAAUCCGGUACCAGCAGGCGCAGAAAGUUUUCCUCAAUAUGGACCUGGACCUGGUUCCUGGGGUGCAUACAAUAUGCAGCAAGCUCAAGGACACAGAUAGACUAGUUUGCAUAUAAUGCUAUGCUGUCGUCUCUCGUUUUAUACGCCUGCUCCUGGUGGUGCUGCCAGUGUUAAUGCCUACACACAAUGAAGAACACUGGAAAAUUCAUUUUCCUAAUGGUCUUUAUUAUUCUCAACUUUUGGUAUUACUUGGGUGCUUUCCAAGGUAGUCAAGGAUACCUUGAGUAGUUGGCAUGGACUAUGGAGGGAUGCUGAGGAAGGGGAAAAGGAAAAUAUGGCUUACAGCCCAUGCUGUUUAUUUUGAUGUGUUUGGAAGGAAUGCAAUAAAUGAUGGCUUGGAUGGAUGUGAAUUGCAGCUGAAAAAUGUGUUUUUUGAAUUCUUUGUUUGAAUGGGCUGAAAGAUCAGUAGAUGGAGUUCUAUUAUUGCUUUGGGCAUCCAUCUUUUCUGCACCUAAGAUUCUGUGGCCUCAGUCAUGUGAGUAAUUGACAGUUUUAUCUGUCUAUUGGUUGGAAGUCUGCUAGCACUAUAUUUUCGCUCUGUUUUUUUUUGUGGUAUUUGUAGCUCUUGAAGAGUUCUAGAUCAAUGAACAGUUUGCAAACUUUUGGACUUUUAGUUCCAUGCUGGUGCUUAUGUCCGGAGUUUCCAACAGGGAACUAUCAUUAAGUUUUCAAUAACUUCAUACAGAAAAGGGCUGUCUCUUAUUUGGUUUUAACUACCUGUUACAAACUGGAAGAGCUGGAGAAUGAGUUUACUUGAGUGGCUGUAAAUUCAUUUUGAUGAUC